AUUGAACGCUUGCGGCAGGCCUAACACAUGCAAGUCGAACGAGUGGCGGACGGGUGAGUAAUGUCUGGGAAACUGCCCGAUGGAGGGGGAUAACUACUGGAAACGGUAGCUAAUACCGCAUACCAUCGGAUGUGCCCAUAUGGGAUUAGCUUGUAGGUGAGGUAACGGCUGACAUAGGCGACGAACCCUAGCUGGUCUGAGAGGAUGACCAGCCACACAGGAACGGAGACAGGGUCCAGGCUCCUACGGGAGGCAGCAGUGGGGAAUAGUGGACAAUUGGCGAAAGCCUGAUCCAGCCAUGCCGCGUGUGUGAAGAAGGUCUUCGGAUUGUAAAGCACUUUAAGUUGGGAGGCGUUACCAACAGAAUAAGCACCGGCUAACUUCGUGCCAGCAGCCGCGGUAAUUC
rnacentral:rRNA from 1 species